GAAGAGGGCAGGAGGCAGGCACACACAGCAGGAAGUGUGACUAAGCUGACGUAUGCAGAAACCCCACUGCCAGCCCUAUAGAAGCAAGGCCACAGAGCCACCCAGCUCCAGUGACACUGCAAACGGCCUGGCAGGUGGCAGGCAGAACAAGAACCAUUUAACCAGUGGGAAGCGCCCCAGGAUGCAGUCCGGACUGCCCAUUCUUUUGUGCACAGUGUUGGCCUUCAUCCUCUUUGGUUCCAGCAAUACACAGAGCAUCACUCAAUCUCCAAGUUCAGUGCAGGAAAAAGAGGGAGAAUCUGUGACCUUGGACUGCCGUUUCACACUCAACUUUGAUUACUACGUGAUGAGCUGGUAUCAACAGCUUUCCAAUAGAAAAAUGACUGAAAUCAUUUAUCUUGUAUCUACUAGAACAAACACUAGGGAAGGACGAUAUUCUGUGUCACACUGGGCGAGAGACAAAACCCUAAGGCUCACCAUCACAGGCUUGAUGCCCACAGACUCAGGCAUCUAUUUCUGUGCUCUUGGAAAAGCUCCACGGUGAGAGGAGUGACAGGGA